rnacentral:rRNA from 1 species
UACGUAGGGGGCAAGCGUUAUCCGGAUUUACUGGGUGUAAAGGGAGCGUAGACGGCAGUGCAAGUCUGAUGUGAAAUCCCGGGGCUCAACCCCGGAACUGCAUUGGAAACUGCGCAGCUCGAGUAUCGGAGAGGUAAGCGGAAUUCCUAGUGUAGCGGUGAAAUGCGUAGAUAUUAGGAGGAACACCGGCGGCGAAGGCGGCUUACUGGACGAAGACUGACGUUGAGGCUCGAAAGCGUGGGGAGCAAACAGG